UAGGGAAUAUUGCACAAUGGGCGAAAGCCUGAUGCAGCAACGCCGCGUGCGCGAUGAAGGCCUUCGGGUCGUAAAGCGCUUUUCGGGGAGAUGAGGAAGGACAGUAUCCCCGGAAUAAGGUUCGGCUAACUACGUGCCAGCAGCCGCGGUAAAACGUAGGAACCGAGCGUUAUCCGAAUUUACUGGGCGUAAAGCGCGUGUAGGCGGUUCGGUAAGUUGGAUGUGAAAUCUCCUGGCUCAACUAGGAGAGGUCGUUCAAUACUGUCGAACUUGAGGGUGGUAGAGGGAGGUGGAAUUCCCGGUGUAGUGGUGAAAUGCGUAGAUAUCGGGAGGAACACCAGUGGCGAAAGCGGCCUCCUGGACCAUUCCUGACGCUCAGACGCGAAAGCUAGGGGAGCAAACGGGAUUAGAAACCCCGGUAGUCCUAGCUGUAAACGAUGUUGACUUGGCGUUGGUGGGGUAAAAGCCAUCAGUGCCGUAGCUAACGCGAUAAGUCAACCGCCUGGGGACUACGGCCGCAAGGUUA
rnacentral:rRNA from 1 species